rnacentral:lncRNA from 1 species
CCCUCGUUCACCUUCCUGUCCCCUCCGUGUUUCCAACCUGGACCCUUCCCGGUGUUGCUCCGCACUUUCUCUUCGUUCCCUCUGUGUCCACCGUUCCUUCCCUGCUCAGCGCUUGGUUUUUGCCUUCCACUCUUCCCUCUUCAGCUUUUCCGCGUUGACUUCCCUGCCGUCCUCGCCUGCAUCUCCCUCCCCAUCGACGCCAUCGGCAGGCGUUGUCCUCUCACGGUCUCUCCACUGCCGUGUCUGUUUCUGCCUCACACUGCGCACUUCCCUCUCAUCCACGCCCCUCGCCUCCCUCUCGGCCCGAUCCUCCUUCUUCUUUUCCGUCGCGUCAGGUCUCUCCCCAAG